rnacentral:lncRNA from 1 species
CUCAGAUUGGGGAUGUGUUGAUGAACUUUCUAGAACAGUUAGUUGCUGCAAACACUGAAGCUACAGAAAGGUAGAGCUGGCCCAGCAGAAGUGAAUUUGAGUUGUGGACUAGCCAUGUGGACCUACAUCCCAUCCAGUCGGUGUGGACACUACCUGGACGAUGGCAAAAGCUGUGUGUGCUGUCCUCCAGCCGGGUGGGGAGGGUGGCUUCAUGCUCAGAAUUAACAGGAGAGACAGAAUCACAGGGGGAAGGCAGUAUUUCUCUAAUAAGAGGAACAAAGAAGAAAUUAUUUUUUCCAAGAAACUAACUGGAGGUAGGGCAGCCCUGCAGUUACCUAAAGGAAUAAACUCUAGGCUUGUCCCUGGAUAUUUCUGUGCCCCCUGCCCAUCCCUACCCUAAGUCUUUCUGGAAGAAAUGACUUCAGCGUCCAAAUACUGGAAGAGGGAUCCCUGGGUGGCGCAGCGGUUUGGCGCCUGCCUUUGGCCCAGGGCGCGAUCCUGGAGACCCGGGAUCGAAUCCCACGUCGGGCUCCCGGUGCAUGGAGCCUGCUUCUCCCUCUGCCUGUGUCUCUGCGCCUCUCUCUCUCUCUCUCUCUCUCUCUAACUAUCAUAAAUAAAUAAAAAUUAAAAAAAAAAAAAAAAAAACAAAUACUGGAAGAGAGGGUAGAGUCAGUGAUGUGGGCCCAGAAAGGGUGAGGUCAUCGUGGGAUGGAGAGACCAGGGAAAGCCCUGGUGGUGGGUGCAGGCACCCAGUGCCUGUGUCCAGCUGCAGAAACAAUGGGGAGGCAGAGGAAAGCAUGAACACUGCCACACUGACAGCCCACCCCACCCUCCACCUGUCUCCCUCAGCCCUGCCGAGCCCUCAGCAUCCAGCUGCUGCCAGAGAUGGAAGCUGGGGAGCCGGAACCCGGCCGAGAGAGGAGCCCAGGGCGACCACAGCCAGGAGCUGGGCCUGGGGAAGCAGCGGCUCCCACGCCCUCCCUGCAGACACAGCCCCGCCACAGCUACCUGCUCACCUCCCAAAUCAGGACUGCACGGCUGCACUGCCCCGGCACCCGCUGACCUCCCUGACCUUCGAGGACGUGGCUGUGCGCUUCAGCAGCCCAGAGUGGCGGUGUCUGAACCGCAUGCAGAGGCUCCUCUACACAGACGUGAUGCUGGAAAACUAUAGGAACAUGUUGGCAGUGGGUAAGAACAGCCCUGGGCUCGGCCUCGCCUUCUCCCCUCUCCGCUUUCUUUCACUUGUUUUGUUCAUCCAUGUGUGUGAGGUCUCUGUUCUACAGCAAAAUAACCGCAAGAACAGGGAAAUGUUCUUAGGAUCUCCUCUGCCUAUCUGAGGG